AGUAAUACAUCGGAACAUACCCUAGAGUGGGGGAUAACGUAGCGAAAGUUACGCUAAUACCGCAUACGCACUAAGGUGGAAAGCAGGGGAUCGAAAGACCUUGCGCUCAUGGAGUGGCCGAUGUCAGAUUAGCUAGUUGGUGGGGUAAAGGCCUACCAAGGCGACGAUCUGUAGCCGGUCUGAGAGGACGACCAGCCACACUGGAACUGAGACACGGUCCAG
rnacentral:rRNA from 1 species